UGGGGAAUUUUGGACAAUGGGCGAAAGCCUGAUCCAGCAAUGCCGCGUGUGUGAAGAAGGCCUUCGGGUUGUAAAGCACUUUUGUCCGGAAAGAAAUCCUUGGCUCUAAUACAGUCGGGGGAUGACGGUACCGGAAGAAUAAGCACCGGCUAACUACGUGCCAGCAGCCGCGGUAAUACGUAGGGUGCAAGCGUUAAUCGGAAUUACUGGGCGUAAAGCGUGCGCAGGCGGUUGCUAAGACCGAUGUGAAAUCCCCGGGCUCAACCUGGGAACUGCAUUGGUGACUGGCAGGCUAGAGUAUGGCAGAGGGGGGUAGAAUUCCACGUGUAGCAGUGAAAUGCGUAGAGAUGUGGAGGAAUACCGAUGGCGAAGGCAGCCCCCUGGGCCAAUACUGACGCUCAUGCACGAAAGCGUGGGGAGCAAACAGGAUUAGAUACCCUGGUAGUCCACGCCCUAAACGAUGUCAACUAGUUGUUGGGGAUUCAUUCCUUAGUAACGUAGCUAACGCGUGAAGUUGACCG
rnacentral:rRNA from 1 species